rnacentral:rRNA from 1 species
UGGGGAAUUUUGGACAAUGGGCGCAAGCCUGAUCCAGCCAUGCCGCGUGCGGGAAGAAGGCCUUCGGGUUGUAAACCGCUUUUGUCAGGGAAGAAAUCUUCUGAGUUAAUACCUCGGGAGGAUGACGGUACCUGAAGAAUAAGCACCGGCUAACUACGUGCCAGCAGCCGCGGUAAUACGUAGGGUGCAAGCGUUAAUCGGAAUUACUGGGCGUAAAGCGUGCGCAGGCGGUUUUGUAAGACAGAGGUGAAAUCCCCGGGCUCAACCUGGGAACUGCCCUUGUGACUGCAAGGCUUGAGUGCGGCAGAGGGGGAUGGAAUUCCGCGUGUAGCAGUGAAAUGCGUAGAUAUGCGGAGGAACACCGAUGGCGAAGGCAAUCCCCUGGGCCUGCACUGACGCUCAUGCACGAAAGCGUGGGGAGCAAACAGGAUUAGAUAGCCCUGGUAGUCCACGCCCUAAAACGAUGUCAACUGGUUGUUGGGAAGGUUCCUUCUCAGUAACGUAGCUAACGCGUGAAGUUGACCGCCUGGGGAGUACGGCCGC